GGAAGUUGUGGCCUAAUGGUUAGAGAGUCGGGCUUGUAACCUGAAGGUUGCCGGUUCGAUUCUCGCACUGGCA